rnacentral:lncRNA from 1 species
CCGUUGCUAAUUCCCGCCGCCGUCGCACCUGCUGCUGUUGCUAUUUCCCGCCGCCGCCGCGCCUGUUGUUCAGACUAAUGUAUCUCCCAACCCCACCGCAGUCGCUGCCGCUGCUGCUGCGUUGCUGAUUCCCCCCGCCGCCGCGCCUGCUGUUGAGAGUAAUGGCCCUCCAAGCCCCACCUUCGUCGCUGCUGCUGCUGUGGCGUUGCUAUUUCCCGCCGCCGCCGCGCCUGCCGUUUAGGCUACUGCACCUCCCAGCCCCACCUUCGUCGCUGCCGCUGCUGCUGCGUUGCUAAUUCCUGCCGCCGCCGCGCCUGCUCCUGUUGCUAUUUCCCACUGCCGCCGCGCCUAUUGUGCAGACUAAUGCACCUCCCAGCCCCACCUUCGUCGCUGCCGCUGCUACUCCGUUGCUAAUUCCCGCCGCCGCCGCACCUGCUGCUGUUGCUAUUUCCCACCGCCGCCGCGCCUAUUGCGCAGACUAAUGCACCUCCCA